UUAUGAAUGUUGAAUUGGAAUGAUUUUAGAAGCCUUUUGAAGUAUUAAUUCUUGAGUAAGCCUUUUGAAUUAUGACUAUACAAUGUCUUAUUCUAGUCCUAUACAGGCUUUGGAGGUGGAUGACUUAAAGCUGGGAGAUAUUGGUCCAAAAUUUGAGCACCAUGAGAUGUUCCCCUCUCGUAUUGAUACAAGUUGCUAAAAUAUUUUCUUCGAUAUUCAUAUUCUUUUUCUACAUUGGACAUUACUAUGACUAUUGAAGUCCUGUAAAUAGUUUUGGAUGUGUUCUUAGUGUGAAAUCAUAAGCUACUUGUUUUGUUUCUUGGAGCAGUCUUGGUUUAACUUUUUCCUUAAAAAAAAAAUUCUUCGCACAUAGUUCAUAAUGAAAUUAGAAAAGUUGACAACUUGGUGUGCCAUACCGACAUGUACCGACUAUACCACACCGUGCUGGUAAAGUACCGGUAUGAUACUGACUUUCGGUUCAGUAUAUGAGUUGAACUGGUCCAUACCAUUCCGAACCAAGUGGAAUCACUCUGUACCUCGUAUCGGUAAAAUACCGGUAUGCUACCGAAUUGGUAAAGUACUGGUUACAGGUCGGUAAAGUACUGGUACUGUAUGGGUAUGCAUCCAUCAUAAUAUGCGGUGUCUGAUAUUGCAUUUAAUUUUAUUUCCAUUUUAAUGCUUCAAUGCUUUUGCAUAUCCUUUAUUUUCUAUAAUGAGAUUCUUUAUGUGAGCAAUGUUAACUGAUCAGUGUAAGUAGGCAUAUUAUAGUUCUCCGUCACAUGCUUGACUGCAUGCCUAUCUGCAGCUGUUGUGGUUUGCUUUCAUCCAUAAAGGCUAUGGUGGUGCUGUUCACCUUUGCACACACUAAAGAGCAGUAGCAUAUAGAAUCCCUUUUUUGGUUUCCUUGAUUGAAUUCUUUGAUCAUCUAUUUUGCAGAAUUUGUGCAAGUCUUCUCUCGUUCACACCUAAAAAUGCGUGUAUGGGAACAUGGUGCAGGAGCAACUCUAGCCUGUGGGACCGGAGCUUGUGCAGUUGUUGUCGCGGCAGUUCUAGAGGGCCACACUGAAAGGACAUGCAUUGUUGAUUUGCCUGGUGGGCCACUGGAGAUUGAGUGGAGGGAGGAAGACAACCAUGUUUACAUAGGCCCUGCAGACACAGUGUUUUAUGGAUCUGUCCCCCUUUAGCUCAGCAAUUUGGAUUAGUUUCUAAGACCUUUGCUUCAAGAAGAGAUGAUAAUGAGUCCAAUUGAAAGGCCCUGCUCUGUAAUUGCGGGCUGCAGGAUGGUCUCCUCCUUUUUAUGGAAAAGAACUCAGAUUGAGCGGGCACCAGGACCACCUCGUUCACUUACCUGUUAUAGCAUUUAUUAGUAUCAUCUAAAGGGCAAUGACAGGAUGACUACUACAUUCAGCUGCAUUUUCUGAGGAUUUUGGUCGGUAUGUUUAUUGCAUCUGUUAGGGAUAAAUUCGAAAGACAGGCUUAUCAGGUUGUUUAGCAAGAUUCUGCAGCCAUAUGACCUGGAAUGAAGGAGCUCGGUUGCACAGGAAGUAUAGAUACUGAUCGAUUGUUUAACGUGAGAAAUGCCACCAGGAAACCCAACUGCAGUCGCUAUCAGGCUUCUCAGCAAACAGGUUCUUCAAGGGGUUGAUUAAUUCCAGAUAGGGCUUGGGGCCAUGGUUAAAUGGAAGAAAAGAAAAUCUUAAAACUAUUCAGUAAGUUAGAUACCGUAACUAAUGUUCUUGAACAUUAUCUUUCUCCUUUAUUGGUUUGCUUACCAUGUAAUAAAUUACAUCAACUGUUGGAAUACAUUAAGGAACCAAGUCCUUCAUGUGGCUAUUAAAUGGAGAGACAGUUGUGGUUUAA